AUACAUGAUCUGGCAGCGAGAAACCAUGAUCAUGUCGGUGGUUUUCCCAAGGAAGCCUUAUUCUUUGCUCUCAGAAUUCGCUGACCCCUGUGAAGACUCUAAAUGUGGAAACAUAAUUUGUGGUAGUGGGGAACUGCAUUUGCCCUAUACCCUG
rnacentral:snRNA from 1 species